rnacentral:rRNA from 1 species
GACGAACGCUGGCGGCGUGCCUAAUACAUGCAAGUCGAGCGCAGGAAACUGACGGAACUCUUCGGAGGGAAGGCAGUGGAAUGAGCGGCGGACGGGUGAGUAACACGUAAGGAACCUGCCUCAAGGAUUGGGAUAACUCCGAGAAAUCGGAGCUAAUACCGGAUAGUUCAUCGGACCGCAUGGUCCGUUGAUGAAAGGCGCUACGGCGUCACCUUGAGAUGGCCUUGCGGUGCAUUAGCUAGUUGGUGGGGUAACGGCCCACCAAGGCGACGAUGCAUAGCCGACCUGAGAGGGUGAUCGGCCACACUGGGACUGGGACACGGCCCAGACUCCUGCGGGAGGCAGCAGUAGGGAAUCUUCCACAAUGGACGAAAGUCUGAUGGAGCAACGCCGCGUGAGUGAUGAAGGUUUUCGGAUCGUAAAACUCUGUUGUAAGGGAAGAACACGUACGAGAGGGAAUGCUCGUACCUUGACGGUACCUUACGAGAAAGCCACGGCUAACUACGUGCCAGCCGCCGCAGUAA